rnacentral:rRNA from 1 species
GACGAAGGUGGCGAGCGUUGUUCGGAAUCACUGGGCAUAAAGCGCACGUAGGCGGCGACGUAAGUUGGGUGUGAAAUCCCUCGGCCCAACCGAGGAACUGCGCCCAGUACUGCGUUGCUUGAGGAUCGAAGGGGUGCAUGGAAUUCCCGGUGGAGCGGUGAAAUGCGUUGAUAUCGGGAGGAACUCCGGCGGCGAAGGCGGCCUUCUGGACCGAGCACUGACACUCAAGCACGAAAGCGUGGGGAGCAAACAGG